rnacentral:rRNA from 1 species
AUGGCGGGGGUUCUGGAUGCUUUGGCAUCCUACGUGACCAACAUGCUCACCGAGAUGGCCAAAGAGGAGGUGUCCAUGCUAAUCGGCGUGUCUGACGGGAUCAGAGAUCUGAGCAUCAAGCUUGGGGACCUCAAGAAUUUCCUUGCAGAUGCUGAUAGGCGGAACAUCACCGAUGAGAGUGUGCGGGGGUGGGUGGGGGAACUGAAGCGUGCCAUGUACCUGGCCACUGACAUCGUCGACCUAUGUCAGCUCAAGGCCAUGGAGCAGCGUCCAUCCAAGGACAUGGGGUGCCUUAACCCACUCCUCUUCUGCAUGCGAAAUCCUCUCCACUCCCACGACAUCGGCACCCGCAUCAAGGCAUUGAACAAGGAGCUGGAUAGCAUCUGCGAGCGGGGCAAUAAAUUUAAAUUUGCCAAGCUAGAAGUGUACCAAGACAUGAAGAUGACUCGAUCUCUUGCUACUGACCGGAAAACAGAUUCAUUGUUGGAGCGGUCAGGUAUUGUUGGCGAGAAGAUUGAGGAGGACACAAGAGCACUCGUGGAGGUGCUCACAAGUGAGGAGGGCAGCGACAAGACUGGUCGCCACAUGGUGGUUGCCAUUGUUGGUGUUGGUGGGAUUGGCAAGACCACCCUCGGCAAGAAGGUCUUCAAUGACGAGGCUAUCAAAGGCAAGUUCACUAAGAAGAUAUGGCUUAGUAUCACACAGGAUUUCACCGAUGUUGAGCUAUUAAGUACAGCCAUUACUGCCGCUGGGGGAGACCAACCUGGAGGGGGUGGGACUCGAGAUAGGGCCCUACUUGUUGAUUCUCUCAAAAACGCCAUCGAGGACAAGAAGUUCUUUCUUGUGCUCGAUGAUAUGUGGGGAGCUGAUGCAUGGAACAAACUGCUCAUGACUCCCUUUGGCUAUGGUGGCCUGGGCAGCCGAGUCCUCAUCACCACAAGAAGUGAAACUGUGGCGAGAAACAUGAAAGCUGCACACUGCCACCACGUUGACAAGUUAGGGCGCGAAGAUGCAUGGUCAUUGCUCAAGAAUCAGGUACUCACUACAGAGGAGAAUGGACACGAGGUUGAUGUGCUAAAGGAAAUUGGGUUGCAAAUUGUAGAAAAUUGUGACGGUUUACCACUCGCUAUAAAAGUAAUGGGGGGACUUCUAUGCAGCAAGGAGAAAUCACAGUUUGCAUGGGAAGAUGUCCUGAAUGAUGACAUCUGA